rnacentral:rRNA from 1 species
AUCGAACGCUGGCGGCAGGCCUAACACAUGCAAGUCGAGCGAGCGGCGGACGGGUGAGUAAUGUAUGGGGACUGCCCGAUAGCGGGGGAUAACAACUGGAAACGGUAGCUAAUAACGCAUACUAUCGGAUAACCCAUAUGGGCUUAGCUAGGAGGUGAGGUAAUGGCUCCCCUAGGCGACGAUCCCUAGCUGGUCUGAGAGGAUGAGCAGCCACACUGUGACGAAGACACGGCCCAGAUUCCUACGGAGGCAGCAGUGGGGAAUAUUGCACAAUGGGCUCAAGCCUGAUGCAGCCAGCCCGCGUGUAUGAUGAAGGCCUUCGGGUUGUAAAGUACUUUUGGCAGAGAAGCGGUAUCUGCAGAAUAAGCACCGGCUAACUACGUGCCAGCAGCCGCGGUAAUAC